GUGUUUCCCAUAGUUUAUCAUUGAAGAUCAGGUCAUUUCGUGCUUUCCACAUCCUCCGUGCCAAGAGCAACCAAUUGGAGAAAAUACACUCAUCUCAAAUGUAGAGGCGAAGCAAAACAGACUUCUCUGAUUGACCAUGAGCCCCAUAAGGCCCCAGCCGCCCCAAGCGGCCUAGAGUUUUCAGCUGCAGGUUGGUGCGUCUAGAUAACAUUACAAAUAAUUUAAUUUUAAGAAUUAUCCAUUUUUCUUUCGAUUAGCAUAGGCACGAAAUAAUUCACUUACAAUUCAUUUGUAAUAGGAGCAAGGUUCUGUUCUCAUUAGAGAAUGGGAAAGGCAUCUGCAUAGGCACAAUAACAAGUCUUAAAACGUUCAUAUAUUAGCAUCUUCACAGGAACAAUAACAAAUCUUAAAAUGUUCAUAUAUUAGCAACUUCUUCUAGCAAAGUCCAAACAGGAAUUCUCUUAACGCUAGAGAUUGCUGCAUUAAUCAUCGACUAGUGAAGCAAUUUUCUGGCGCGCAACAAACUUCAGAGGUCAUAAGUAAUCAAAGAUUAUAUGUUCUCUUGAAUAUGUUGGAAGUGGUCAAGUUGGGAGAGAACGUGUGUGACAAACUUCCUCGCAACUGUAGAUUAGUGGGUGAAGACAACAUUACAAAUGGUUUAAUUUAAAGCAUUAACCAUUUUUAUUUGCAUGAGCAUAUGCUUCUAAACAAUUAAUACAUAUUUGACAUCACCAGCAAACAACUAGCUUUCAAUAACCGAAUAGUAUCUGAUAAGCAACUCCAACACCUACUCCCAAAAAUCCUAAACUUUAGCACAAAAUAUAUACACGACUCAGACAAUAAUUAAAUAUUUGUUUAAUCUACUAUUGACAUCUAAGUCAUGACGAUUCAUGCAAGCCAAUUCAAUCUACAAAGACACAGAAUUCCCAAUCUGUACCAUUAUCAUAUGUAAAAUCAACGGCAGUUCCUUGUUCUUGUAUGGU
rnacentral:misc_RNA from 1 species